AAUGAAUUAUUUCAGGAAUGCGGUUGCUGGACAAACUGUAAAAUUGCCGGUGUCAACAUGAAGGGCUCAUCGCUCAAUGGAAGAGCACCCGUCAGAAGGCGGGGAUAAGGGUUCGAAUCCUUUUGGGUCUUGUUUCGAUGCACCUGGAGACGCAAAUCCCCAGGGAAGGGCUGAAGGUCACUGACCUGAAGAUGCCGUGUAUAGGUUUGCACUCAGGACGUUAAAUGGGUUUGACGGAGCAU
rnacentral:misc_RNA from 1 species